ensembl:misc_RNA Metazoa_SRP Metazoan signal recognition particle RNA
GCUGGGUGUGGUGGCUCACACCUGUAAUCCCAGCACUUUGGGAGGCCGAGGUGGGUGGAUCACCUGAGGUCAGGAGUUCGAGACCAGCCUGACCAACAUGGAGAAACCCCAUCUCUA